rnacentral:piRNA from 1 species
UGAGCUGAUUUCUUCCUAGGUGAAGCUU